AAUAUUUUAAAUAUUCAUUUGCUUUGGCAGUCACAAAUUUUUUUAAAGAAACUUGUUUUAUAAUCGACACUACACGAUAAAUCUAUCUUAAAACAAAAUCUUACAUACCGCCGUUUAAAGUAUAUUAAUUAAUCUGUUUCAUAAACAAAUAUUUUUAAAAAUCAGGUCAAGGUGUAGUACAAUACU
rnacentral:rRNA from 1 species